rnacentral:rRNA from 1 species
UACGUAGGGGGCAAGCGUUUGUCCGGAAUCAUUGGGCGUAAAGCGCGUGUAGGCGGCUCGAUAAGUCUGCUGUGAAAGUCCAAGGCUCAACCUUGGGAUGCCGGUGGAUACUGUCGAGCUCGAGUCCGGAAGAGGAGUGUGGAAUUCCUGGUGUAGCGGUGAAAUGCGCAGAUAUCAGGAAGAACACCUAUGGCGAAGGCAGCUCUCUGGGGACGGUACUGACGCUAAGACGCGAAAAGCGUGGGGAGCGAACAGG